rnacentral:lncRNA from 1 species
UCAUGCUGGCAUCAUUCAUUCUCCACGCAUCAGAUGAUCCUGUGGCCCCUCAGUGCCAGGCCCCACUGGCCCUCUGCGCACAUCAGUGACUCUGAUGUUCUCCCCCACCGCAUGCUGCCAAUCUGAUGGUGGAGACAGAACAGCAGUCCCGGAUGGUGGAGGCAAUGCCCAGAGCUGUGGCAGCCACCUUGCAGCCGUGAAGCACCAGUGGGAAUGACAGUCAAGAGAACCACGGAGAUGCCAGCCCCUGGACCCACAGCAGCAGCACCUGCUUCCAGACUCAGAGUGUGAGAAAAAAAUAAACUCCUAUUUGUUUAUGGCAAGAGACAAGGUCUAGCUCUGUGAUGCAGGCCGGAGGACAGUGGUGUGAUCACAGCUCACUGCAGCCUUGAACUCCUGGGUUCCAGCAAUCCUCCCACCUCAGCCUCCUUAGUAGGCGUGGCUACAGGUGUGUACCACCAUGUCCAGCCCUAAAUUUCAUUCUUUUUAAUUUCAAUAUUGUUAUGUGUUUUCUAAUGUUUUAUAACUUAUUGGUAUGGUAGAUGUACAUGUAUACAAAUUAAAAGAAAAUUUAUAUAUAUUUUA